GAAAUGCGAUAAGUAAUGUGAAUUGCAGAAUUCAGUGAAUCAUCGAAUCUUUGAACGCACCUUGCGCUCCUUGGUAUUCCUUGGAGCAUGCUCGUUUGAGUAUCAUGAAAUCUUCAAAGUAAAUCUUUUGUUAACUCAAUUGGUUUCUACUUUGGUAUUGGAGGUCUUUGCAGCUUCACACCUGCUCCUCUUUGUUCAUUAGCUGGAUCUCAGUGUUAUGCUUGGUUCCACUCGGCGUGAUAAGUUAUCUAUCGCUGAGGACACUGUAAAAGGUGGCCAAGGUAAAUGCAGAUGAACCGCUUCUAAUAGUCCAUUGACUUGGACAAUACUUUUAUGAUCUGAUCUCAAAUCAGGUAGGACUACCCGCUGAACUUAAGC
rnacentral:misc_RNA from 1 species